rnacentral:lncRNA from 1 species
CAGGGCCUUGCUCAACAAAUAGAGGCGACGCCCUGACUUGGGGCCGUGGCCACCGCGAUAGGGAGGAGGCCAGUGCGUGGGGACUUGCCUCGACUCCAGGGGAGUGGUUAAAGAAUGUGGGCGUGACUAGGUCGUGGGGCGUGGCCAGUGGGUGGGGUGUAGCAGAUGGGGCAUGGCUAUGCCAUGGGGGCGUGGCCUUUGUGUAUAGGAUUGACGGGGCCUCACAGAGGAUGGGGCGUGGCUAUGUCAUGGGGCGUGGCCUUUGUGUGAAGCUUAGGGCAUAGCAGUGGAGGGGCGUGGCUCGGGCUGGAGGCGUGGUCAUCAGGGGGCGUGGCUCGGGCUCAAGGAGGCAUUCCCGGGCGCUCAGGUGAGCGCUCUCUGGAUCUAACAGUCCUUGGGGAGCCGAUGCCGGUGACCGGGCCGCGGGCAGACACGCAGGCGCCCGGAAGACACAGCAGGGCUGCAGGCAAGUGAAGAGUGACUGGCGCCUGGGCGUGCGGUGCGGGGUCUCGGGGGAGGUGGGCCUGGCACACCGGGGAGAGGGGACAGAAGAGGGAUAUAGAGGGGUUGGGCGGGAUGGGAGGCGGGGCCUGGGGAAGGGGCGGGGCCUGGACAAAGGGCACGGCCUCUGACCGCACCCCUCGCCCCCUCCCAGCUGCCCAGCCCUCCCAGCCAUGUGGCGCCCGCUGGUCCUGCCGCCCCUGCUGCUGCUGCUCCCCUGCGCACCCGCCCCCACUGCCAGUCCCAUCCAGGCCGCCAAACCCCAGGACGGCCUGCAGAGCCUACUCCAAGGUUGCCGUCGCCUCUUGUUGGGGUUUGGGGAGAGGAGGAGGAGAGAGAGGAGGGGCGGGGGCAGACAGCAAGAGAGGAAGUCAGAGAGACAGACAGGGAUAUAGGGAGGGGCCCGAGGAACCCAGACAGAGGUACAGCAGGACAGACGAGGGGCAGGAAUAAGGAGAUGGUGGAUGGAAUAGGGACAGGGCAGAGGGAUAGGGACCCAGAUAAGAACAGGGGACAAGAUUGGGGGGUGGACUGGCUCGGCCCUGAGGGUCAGAGCAUCGUGGAAGAGGGUGGAGAGGAAAGGGGGUGGGAGGGACAUGGGGCCCGGCCCGAAGAGGCAUCCAACACUCAGACCACUUUCUGCGAGCCCUCGUGGCACCGGCUGUGGGACAGGGACAGCUGCCUCUCUGCCCCGUGGACCUCAGUGCCUCCCCAGGACUGCCACUGCGCAGAGGACCAGGAGUGCUGGCUGGAGAACAGCACCCCUUCUAGCCAGCACCAGGAAGCCCGUCGCGGAGCCCAACUUGUUCCUCUUCACCAGGUGCCCAAGCUGGAGGAGACGCAGAGCUGGUGGCACUGGCAAAUCCGGCCCCUCACUCUGGCGGUCCUCCCAGGUCGUGAGGUGACUGCCCUGGCGGUGCAGCCAGCAGCCUGGGAGGCAGGCCUGCAGCUCCUUCAGAAGCAUCCAUGGCCACCAGCCUUCUGCGACAGGCUCCUUAAGGGGGCCCUCCUGGCACGGGGACCUGAGGCCUCCCCCGCCCCAAAGGGCCCGCCCCAAGACCCACUUGUUGUCCCUUUCCGGGCUCAGCAGCAGCCGCAGGGGCCGGGGGUGGACAUCAGAGCCCUGGCAGGGGACAGACGUGCACCCUCCCCAGACCCCACCCCAGCGCCACUGAGAAAUCAAGUUCUUUCUCUCAGCCAUCUGCGCUGCUUCCUCUCGGGACCUGUCCCCAGCACCCGGCCGACUGAAACGAUUUCUUUGCUUUUACAAGCUCCUGAGGCAGGAACCGGUCCUGCUUCCUGCUGUGUUGCCUGAUGCUUACCAGAGAGCGUGGCUCACGCUUAGUUCUCAAAAACAGUUCGUUGUGGAGAAUUGAGUUGAGUUGAGUCCACGGCUGACUGGAGGGACGCCCUCUCUGACGCCCUAGCGCCAGGCUUCCACGUCAGUAUUUCCUAAAACGGUGAUCACGUGAGACUGUUUAAAGAUGCUACAGUCCUGUCAUCCUAAUGCUGAAAAUUGAAGAUAGCACUCACAUGGAUGGUCCAUUAGGAAUGGAGAAAAGUGAGACAUCAUUACAGAGCCUAUAAGAAGCUGUUCCAAACGUUCUAUACCAAUACAUUUGAAAAUCGGGAUAAAACGGGCAACUUUCUAGAAAACACUCACUGAAACUGAGACAAGAAAUUGAAUCUGUAGUUUAAAAUCUUCCCACCAACAAAUCUACAGGCUCAGAUGACCUCAUUAGUAAAUCUAGGAAAAUAUUAAUGGCAAUCUUACAUAAACUCCAGAGAAUGGAUAACUUGUGUUCGGAAACCAGAAUAGCCUUGUUGCAAAACCCAAAAAGUAAAUUUUGAGACAGGAAAAGUUUCGGUCCAGUAUCUUUCAUAAACGUAGGUGCCAAGAUCUUAAGAUGUUAGCAAAAUGAAUCACCACCAGAAGGCAGGGAAUUGUGGGAAUGAUGACUGACUUAGGUAGAAACGCUCAGCCAUAGGUUGCCGGCCACACAGCUUUUCUGGUGAGCCACACGAUAGGAUCCUGUAACUGAAGACAGAAAUAAGAUUUCACGUGUGUGGAACUUCAGUGCUGGACUAGUUUUCUUCAGGGGAAAAUGAGACUCAGAUGAAAUGUUAAUUUUGCAGAGAGUAAGGAAGAAACCUAUCCUGGACAGAUUUUCCUUUCUUCUAGUCUGGUUUUGAUCUGCUGCAAGACUGAUUUGCUGACAAAGGCAUCUCAAAAGGUUCAUUCAUGGUGGAGCCGCCACUCCUGAGGACCUCACCCAGAAUGGAGCUCGCCUGGGGGAAAAAUCCACAAGCCACCCCUACAGAGGCCAGAGCACGGGGCCUGUGUCCAGAGGGAGAAGCAGGUCGCUAGUGUCAGAUGCUAAUGGAUGACUGACUUACAAUCCUUUCUGUCCAGAUGACGGGUUCUAGCCUUUAUGGUUGCGAAGAAACCUGCGUAGGCUCUUACUGCCAUGUGUGCAUGCUCAAGAGGAAGGGGGAGCAGGUUUGGGGUUCACUCAGGAGGAGGGAAACUGCUUUCCGUAAGGAUGAGUGUGGUCCCCGAAGGUGGUAAAGCCAGCAGGGCAGUGGGGCAGUGGUGUGACGGUGAGUGCCAACAACCGGCUCUCUGAGUGAACACAAAGCCCUCAAUGAUAGCAUUUGCCAAUUUCUAUGGUGUCAAUAAGCCUGCUCUGGUCCAUCUAAAGCUACCAAUGUGAUGUGAACCGGCUCACAAAAUCCUUGAAAAGUCAAGAACUGGCUCUCAGGAGCCAGUAGGAGCCACACCUCCAGCCCUCCAUCUUCACAGACGGUGCCGUCUUCUGCUUCUCAUCUCCUCAGACCGUUUGGAACCGACAUCAUCCAGGCCUUCCUGCAAAGACCUGGGGCAGGUGGGAAAGGAUGCUGCAGCCACGGCCAGUGGGUGGAAGGGCUGUUCUGGUGAGAAAAAGCUGACAGGCCUGACGUCUGAAGUUCUGCAGAAGGCAGAUAAAGGACAGAAUCAUAAUUUCACAAUCAUCUGCCUUGAGUCUUAGAAGGCACACUUUAGAGCAGUAAUCGCGAGAGAUCCUGAUAUGGGUCGUUGUGGGUCAAAGCUUCUGUGGAAGGAAAUUGGCGCAGCUGGUCUGGUCUCCUGAAGCUUCUCAUAGAUUUCAGAAAAGGGUCCCCGGGGGUCUGGUCUCCCCUUGAGCAAGUCACUUGGAAUGGAGGGGAGUCACCGCUCUUCAGACCCACUGGAAGGCAGGGGGUUCCCUCUUCCCCAUACCCCUUCGAGGCCACCCUCUGUGGGGCUGAGGUCACCGUAACAGAACGGAGCUCUUCAGAUCUCUUCCGCUCCUCAGAAAAGACCACUCCCCGUGGCCCUGACCCCACUGGUGCACACAGCCAAUGCCUUUUAGGUCACUGGCAUGCAGCUCUUCAACGGAGUUGUGGCAACAGCUCCCUGUGCUUUUUUUCACUAAAGUGUUACUGUUUGCUAUACAUCAGUUUCCAUUGACUAUAUUUGGGAUGCAUGAUGCCCAGUUACCUGAAAAUGAGGUGCCAGGGAUCCGAUUAUUUACAAAAGUGGCCUUCCUCACUGGAAAAUAAAUUGGGAUCUGGAAAAAUCUUAUGCUGUGGGCAACACUUGUCUCCCACACCUCACGUUUCCUGGAAAGGGAUUUUGACAACUUCCAGGAAGUAUGGACUGCCUUCCCAUGCCCUCCGCCCUUUGCUCACCUGGCUGCACAGUGCUGCUGAGCUCACAGAUGGCACUGAGUACUCCAGGCAGACCCCAGCCAGUCUCCCCGAGGGGACAGCCCGUCCUCAGGUCCUUCUCCCUUCCCUCACAGAAGACCCCUGGCUGGCAGGCACACGUGGGCAGCCCAUGUGGUCCCAGCUCCAGGUGGUGCCUCCCAUUCAGUAUUCGUCGUAAUGAAGCUGGUAUUGUCACUUCCACAUGUCUGACUCCUGUGUGUGUGUCUCUGGAUCGCAAACUCAGCACGGGAAGAGAAAGGUGUUGACUGCCUUCCACGGGCCCCCAGAUGUGCGUUGUUAUGGACACUGGCUGCAUACGUGAGUGUCUGCGUCAGCUUCAACAUCUUUGCUCUGCUCCAUCCUCCGCUUCUCCAUAACAACAGGGCCAAAACUAUAAUUGCCCCCAGAACAUGCAGGAUGCGACACCCCCAGACCUACUGACCACCUGGAACAAUCUGGGGUGGGGGGGGAGGCGUGGCUGUUAAACACACAUAUUUAUCCCCACUCCGCCUGAAAACCCACAACAAGGAAUUUAUUUUUUUAAAAGGCUUAGCGAGUGGGCGAAAGUGGCUUAGACCACUUAGUGAGUGGGGCCCUGCGGCUCAGAGGGCGCGGGGUCCCCUCCUGCCGGGUCUCCCCCAGCCCGCUGCGCCCGGGUUGGCCGGCCCCCCAGGCCUAGGACCGCGUCCUAGACGGCAUCUCGGCCGGUGUGACUCGCCCUGCAUCCCAUGCGCGUGGGGCCAGGCUGAGAUGCGGGGUCUGCGGGCUGUCCCAGACCACCAGGGCCCUCUGCCGUCGGGCAGCGGCGCUCCCGUUCUGGAGGGAAACAGGGUAGCAAUCAUGGUCACUGGCAGAUAAUGAAACGCUCCCUUAGAAUGACAGCGAC